UUGCUGCUCUCUGUGUCUGUGACUUAUCCCCAGCACAGUGUGACGUCAACUGCUGCUGUGAUCCCGACUGCAGCUCCGUGGAUUUCAGUGUCUUUUCUGCCUGCUCAGUUCCAGUUGUCACGGGUGACAGCCAGUUUUGUAGUCAAAAAGCAGUCAUCUAUUCAUUGAAUUUUACAGCAAACCCACCUCAAAGAGUAUUUGAACUUGUUGACCAGAUUAAUCCAUCUAUUUUCUGCAUUCAUAUUACAAACUAAGUACCUGAUGAAAACAAUUUUGAUACAU
rnacentral:sRNA from 1 species